CUCCUUUAGAGUUUGGAUCCUGGCUCAGAUUGAACGCUGGCGGCAGGCCUAACACAUGCAAGUCGAGCGGCAGCGACAUAAACAAUCCUUCGGGUGCGUUUAUGGGCGGCGAGCGGCGGACGGGUGAGUAAUGCCUGGGAAUAUGCCCUGAUGUGGGGGAUAACCAUUGGAAACGAUGGCUAAUACCGCAUAAUCUCUUCGGAGCAAAGAGGGGGACCUUCGGGCCUCUCGCGUCAGGAUUAGCCCAGGUGAGAUUAGCUAGUUGGUGAGGUAAGGGCUCACCAAGGCGACGAUCUCUAGCUGGUCUGAGAGGAUGAUCAGCCACACUGGAACUGAGACACGGUCCAGACUCCUACGGGAGGCAGCAGUGGGGAAUAUUGCACAAUGGGGGAAACCCUGAUGCAGCCAUGCCGCGUGUGUGAAGAAGGCCUUCGGGUUGUAAAGCACUUUCAGUCGUGAGGAAGG
rnacentral:rRNA from 2 species